AGAGUUUGAUCCUGGCUCAGGACGAACGCUGGCGGCGUGCUUAACACAUGCAAGUGGAGCGACGAACCGGGGCUUGCCCCGGGGCAGAGCCGCGAACGGGUGAGUAACACGUGGGUAACCCACCCCGAUGAUUGGGACAACCCCGGGAAACCGGGGCUAAUACCAAAUGUGCCCGCGGUCCAUGAGGACCACGAGUAAAGAUAGCUUCGGCCUUCGCAUCGGGACGGGCCCGCGGCCCAUUAGCUUGUUGGUGAGGUAACGGCUCACCAAGGCGACGAUGGGUAGCUGGUCUGAGAGGACGAUCAGCCACACUGGGACUGAGACACGGCCCAGACUCCUACGGGAGGCAGCAGUGGGGAAUCUUGCGCAAUGCGCGAAAGCGUGACGCAGCAACGCCGCGUGGGGGAAGAAGGCCUUCGGGUUGUAAACCCCUUACAGUUGGGACGAAGCUUCAGCGGUGAAUAGCCGUAUGGAGUGACGGUACCUUCACAAGAAGCCCCGGCUAACUACGUGCCAGCAGCCGCGGUAAUACGUAGGGGGCUAGCGUUGUCCGGAAUCAUUGAGCGUAAGAGCGUGUAUGCGGCCCGUAGUCGCUGUGACAGUCGGGGCUCACCCUCGAAGCGGUGAUACUGUCGGCUAGAGUGCGGAGGAGCGAGUGGAUUUCCUGGUGUAGCGGUGAAAUGCGCCGAUAUCGAGAGGAACAGCAAUUUGCGAAGGCAGCUCGCUGGGACGUACNGACGCUGAAACCNAAGCGUGGGAUCAACGGAUGAUACCUGUAGUAUGCAAAUCCGCCCUGCGCG
rnacentral:rRNA from 1 species